rnacentral:tRNA from 1 species
GCGGCUGUGGCGGAACUGGUAGACGCCCAGGCUUCAGGUGCCUGUGCUCCUUACGGGGCGUGGAGGUUCGAAUCCUCUCAGCCGCA